GGACUACACGGGUAUCUAAUCCUGUUUGAUCCCCACGCUUUCGUGCCUCAGCGUCAAUGUCGGUCCAGAUAGCCGCUUACGCCACUGGUGUUCCUGUCAAUAUCUACGCAUUUCACUGCUACACUGACAAUUCCGCUAUCCUCUCCCGAAUUCAAGUCCAGCAGUUUCAAAAGCGCUUCCAGGGUUGAGCCCUGGGCUUUCACUUCUGACUUGCUGAACAGCCUACGCACGCUUUACGCCCAGUGAUUCCGAAUAACGCUCGCCCCCUUCGUAUUACCGCGGCUGCUGGCAC
rnacentral:rRNA from 1 species